rnacentral:lncRNA from 1 species
CUCGUCAGUUACGAAGCUGGACUGAAACUGCACUGUCAUUCAAUGCUGGAAGCUUCUGCGCGCGCCCAGGUCUGCACGCCAUGCGCGGUGCGUCCUCUUGGCUCACUGCCAUGCGCGCAUGCGCCACGUCACCAUGCGCGGUGCGUCCUCUUGGCUCAAGUCCAUGCGCCCGUGCGCCACGUCACCUGCGAGCCUAUACGAGCGCGCCACACAAUCGCGCCACACAAUCGCGCCGUAUUGGCUCACUCUGGUGUGCCGCGCACGACACGGCAGGACCCAUGCACCAUGCGCGCAACCGCGCGCCUCCGAGCCAUGUGUACUCGUGCGCGCAUGCGCAAAGUGCGCCAUCAAAGCGCCACAUUGCGCCUCAUCGCCCACGCCACGCGCGCGAGCGUGUGCGAGUUAGGGUGCUGCGCACCCUUCGCGAGGACACUAG